UAAAUUACAAACUUUUCGGUAUACUCUGGAAUUCUCAUAAAGAUUUCAAAAAUGAUUUAUUGUUGUUCUUGUUGUCAUUCUUUGUAGGUUUUAUUUUUUGCAGCAGCAUUUAUAUAGGAGGGAAUUCAAAGCCCAUGCUCGCACCUCGCCCAAAUUUGUCACAUUUAUUUGCUAUGCUAGAAACUAUUUCCCAUUGAUGGUUUUGCUGCACAAAUAUUAAAUACGUACAUAACUGUUUUCGUAUAGCAACUUUCUCAAAAUAAGAAGUGAUCAUAGAAACGGUCCGAGGUAACUCGUUUUUAGUAGCGUUCGCUCUGGCUUCAGUAUACACAUGUUUUUACCAGAUUUCUUCAUAAUAUCAACAACAAGGUAUUAGUG